UCUGCCAGUCCACCCUGAAUCCUGUGUAUCCGCUCUGAGGUCAUUCAUCAGUCUUCGGCACUCUUCUUUUUGAUCGAUGGAGCUCAUCUCAUCGGUUGUCGGAGUUCUGCUUCAUUGGUCUUUGGUGUCCUUCUCAUUGGUCUCCCCUUCUCUCACUGAUUGCAUCCAAGGUGCCCUGCCGCCUGUCCAGGUCUGAGUCACUGGUGUGUGUCUCAUGCGCCCUCCCGGGAACAAGUUAGAUGGCCUGACUUGCAACAAUUGUUUAUCAGAUGAGUUUUUGUCACUUUUAAUAUUUUUAGUUUUAUUCUUUGGCCCAUUUUUCACAGAGGUAUUUCUAAAAUUCAUAUUUUAAUUCUGUUUUCAAAUUGCUACUUAUUUGCUACAUUGAAACUUCUACUUACCUAUUUUAUGAGUCUCUUUCUCCUUUUACCACAACAUUGGAAGUCUGUUGUGCAACAAUUUUGCCACUUCAAGAAUUUGAAGUCACAUUUAGUAAUUCUGUAUAUGUAUGAUUCUAGGAAUUUUCAACGUUUUCACAUUAAUUAUCAAUCAUUUUAAAUCAGACAGUAUAGCUGUCUUUGCUCUGUUCUACACAUUAGCCAAGUUGCUUCUGGUGUACUCUCACGUCUAUCCAAUUUAAUUGUUAUAAAAAGUAAAUUCGUAUGGCUUUUGUUGGUCCCGAGUCCCUUGCGGGAAGGUCCCACCGCCUGAAUAUAUGAAUAUAUAAUUAUAGCCAUCAAUGGGCCUUACAACUGUCAUACUUCAGCCGGGACCGACAAUUUAACGUGCCCAUCCGAUAACACGGGAGUGAUCUGGUUAUAAAACUUUUGGUUGUGAGAGGGUUCGAACCCAGGAUCUCUAUGCUGCUAUACAAGCUCUCUAUCCACUACACCACGGAUCACUCUGAAGUAUUGCUAUGAUUUGUUGGGACUUUAUGAAUUUAUUGAUGAUCCAUGGUUGAUUCUAAUCAUCAAUACCUACUGUGUAAUAUUUCUAGCCUUUUUAGUCACUCAUUUUUUCAGGAACAAUAAUCUUAAGAAUCAGUGAAAGAGAAUUCACAGUCAAUUGCUUACCUAUUGGAUUAUUGACUUCAUAAAUAUGUUAACUCAGGACUAUUAAUUUUCUCAAUUCAGUUAUUGGUAGAAACCAAACCAUCCAAGUUACAUUCAUCUAUAUUUUAAAUUAUAUAUUAAUUUACAUUGGAAACUUAUCCAUAAUCAUUUUUGUAUUAUUACAUUUCUUAUAUUCAGAUUUUCACAAAUGUAAUAUCCAUUGUCUUAUUGACAUCUUUGAAUUUUUCUGCAAGUAUUUGUAUUAUUGUAUCAGCCCUUUUUAUAUCUCCAUCAUCAAUAAACAUUUUGUCGUUUGUGAAUUAUUCUAAGCCUAUGACAAAAAGGCAAAAUGAAAUCAGUCAUUGUUUCUGUACAACUUUGUCUUUAUUUAGAAAAAAUCAUUAUCACAGGUAUCAACUUAGAACUAUUACAUUUUUCAGGUUUACAGUUACAAUUCUUUUUAAACAUUCUAGCUUCCAGAGUUAAUUACAAUUUGUAUAACAGUUGUAAUUUCAAUUUGGCACUUUGUUGGGUCUGUGGUACAAGAACUAGACAAGUAUUAGUUCUUUUAAUUCUGUUUCUCACACCAUACAGUCCACUCAAGUUAGGUUGGCUUUACGACCCAACCUGCCACGAGACUUAUCAUAAGUGUUUCGGUCCUCCUAUUGGCCGGAUCAAGGCCAUUGACCUAUUGGAACACGGGCAAAACCUCUUUAUUGUCAAUUUUGAAAACCUCUGUCAGAUCAGGUUAUUUUUGCCCACUGUAGGUAGGUUAUCUUUGUAGUGUCCCAGUCUUACUAUUUACCUAGCAUAAUCAGUCUAAGCACUAUAAUAAUAAAUGUACUUUGUCAUUUUCAGAAUUAAGGUGUUCUUGCUGAUUCUCAUGACAGACUGCUGCGCCAGUUUGAGACAGCUUUUUGUGCCGACCCUGUACUUCCAUGGAUUCCACUCUGCUCAGAAAAGCAUUGAGUCAGCUCAUUGUCUGCACUAGUGUGUGCGCCUUUCUCUUACCUGGAUCCACUGGAAAUCGACGAUAUCACCUUAUUCUACAAACAACAAAUUCCAACUUUACCAAUCAAAGCAAGCAUCAUCCCAUCAGCAAUAGUGAUUAUCAAAGAACAUCACACGUUUGCAGAGAACAGUGAACUUUUGAUCACUACAUCAGGGAGUCAUCUUACAGCAAACUUUGACUAUACUAGACAAGGUAUUAUCAAGGGAUUCCCAUCAAGAGCAAACACUCAACAGUAGAAAACACUAGACUGAUAUGGAGUCACACAUUCCCGCGACAAUGUUCAAAGAGGGUAUUCUAGUAGAGCUUCUCAAUAAUAUUAUAACUGAGAUGAAAAAAUAUGUUGGGCAUGAUUUCCUCCUCAAUGAGCUUAUCUGGAAUUUGAAUG
rnacentral:lncRNA from 1 species